UACGGGGGGGGCAAGCGUUGUUCGGAAUUACUGGGCGUAAAGGGCUCGUAGGCGGCCAACUAAGUCAGACGUGAAAUCCCUCGGCUUAACCGGGGAACUGCAUCUGAUACUGGAUGGCUUGAGUGUGGGAGAGGGAUGCGGAAUUCCAGGUGUAGCGGUGAAAUGCGUAGAUAUCUGGAGGAACACCGGUGGCGAAGGCGGUUCUCUGGGCCUUACCUGACGCUGAGGAGCGAAAGCGUGGGGAGCAAACAGG
rnacentral:rRNA from 1 species